rnacentral:rRNA from 1 species
GUCUAUGGCCAUGCUACCCUAAACAAGCCCGAUGUCUGAUCUCAGAACAAAACAGGGUCGGGCCUGGUUAGUACUUGGAUGGGAGACCACCUAGGAAGACCACGUGUUGUAGGCA